rnacentral:snRNA from 1 species
AAAACUUUUCCAAAAGAAAAGAAAAAAUCUGUUCUUAUCAGUUUAAUAUCUGAUACGUCCCCUAUCUGGGGACCAUAUAUUAAAUUGAUUUUUGGAACAGGGAGAUGGAAUAGGGGCUUGCUCCGUCCACUCCACGCAUCGACCUGGUAUUGCAGUACCUCCAGGAACGGUGCACCCCCU